rnacentral:misc_RNA from 1 species
CCUUCACAGAAUACAUCAAAUUCUUCUUCAAUUUAAAUUUCUGUUCUUUCCCAUACCAGAAAAAUCUCUCCCCCAAAUUUACUCAAUGAAUUCAUUAUCAAAAUUCGCCUUUGGGUUUUUGCUGCUACUAUGUUUCUGCUGCUUUACCGAGUCCAAAUGCUCCAAAGGCUGCGAUUUGGCUUUGGGUUCUUACUAUGUCUGGCAAGGGACAAACCUCUCCUUCAUCGCCGAUGUUAUGAAAUCAUCCAUUCUAGAAUCGCCCAACACAAUUGUCAGCUACAACAGAGAUCGAGUCCCAAACAUGGACAGUGUCCAAGCAGGGAUCAGAAUCAACAUCCCUUUCCCGUGCGACUGUAUCAACGGUGAAUUCCUCGGCCACGUGUUUCAGUACAACGUGGUAACUGGUGAUACCUACGACGUCGUCGCCAACCGGUACUAUUCUAACUUGACCACGGUUAACUGGUUGAAGCAGUUCAAUAGCUAUCCGGAGAACAAUAUACCCGAGACACCGGUACUCUAAAUGUCUCCGUGAAUUGCUCAUGUGGGGAUAGUUCGAUUUCAAAGGAUUAUGGAUUGUUUAUUACGUACCCGCUCCGGCCUGAAGAUACUCUGGACUCGAUUGCGACGGAGUACAAUAUAAGUAAGGACAUGCUGCAGAAAUAUAAUGUUGGUGUGGACUUUAGUGCAGGCACUGGCUUGGUUUAUGUUCCAGGCAAAGAUGAAAAUAAUAGCACCCGGCCCCUGACGUCAAGCGCAGGGAUAGCAGGUGGAGCUAUUGCUGGCAUAUCCAUAGGGGUAGUAGCUGUGGCGCUGUUAGUAGCAGUUUGUGUGUACUUUGGGUUUUACCGAAAGAAGAAGGUGAAGGAAGCAAUAUUGCUGUCAGGAUCUCAAGAGCUCUCUGCUCAAGCUUUGCAAGCUCCUGG